CUCCAUCGUGGGCAGCAGAGCCGAGCCCAUGGUGAUGAUGAUGAUGAUGCCUUCGCUACGGUCCUCCCUGUGGCAGGCCCUUUACAUACCUUCCUUCCCGCAAUCCUCACAACACUGUGACUAGCGCCAGCUGUGUACCACAAACUGUUAGGCACUGAGGAUGGGAGGAAAAAAAAAGAAUAAAAACCCACCCCUGCCCACAAAAGGACCAGAGAUACCGAAAUUUUAAACAGAGAGAAGAGAAAAGCUCUACCAUUUACCUUGUCUACGCAGCCG